rnacentral:lncRNA from 1 species
UUCAAGGAUUUUAUUUAAGGUAACAUCCUAACAGGAGAUUUUUGAACCACAAAGGUUCCAGCCCUUAAUGGUGAGAUUUAGUGCCUUACAGUCACUGGUAUAUCCUUGGGAUGCUAGAUAUUAUCGUGGCUAGCAUAAGACCAUAGGGUCAACUUUGCUUCCCUUGACAUUCUGGAAUGUGUCCACACCAGGCACAGGAGCCGGAAUGGCUGUGCCUUCUGUGAGGUCACCAAUAUCAUCAGAGGAUGCUCCUUUUAGGGGAUGCAGGUAGCCAAUGAACAGCCAGAGCUGAAGAGGCACCAUGAAGCUGAAAGGUCACCUUGGGUUCCUUUGAAGGGAAGGAUACAGAGUCCAGCCAGUGCUCAUUCCUGUUGGUGGUCUUCUUCCAGAAGCCUAAAGUAGUGGUUCUCAAACUUGAGCACUGGCUUUGAGAGCUUCUCAAGUUUCCAGAUGAUGCUGAUGCUGCUGGUCCAGGGACCAGAAUUUGAGAAGCACUGACCAAGAGGAUGAAUGAUGGAGUACGCUUUGCAGCAGAGACCAACAGCAGCCACCCGGACUCAGUUGACUUUCUGCUUACUCUGGCUUAUUUAUUCUCCAUAUGCUCCCCAUCAUCACUGAAGUAUCCUGGAUCAUUCAUUUAUGGAGGGAACCACAUUUUUACCUUAUAGGCUAGAGCUCUCUGUGGGAGAGCGGUGGGGUUUUAUAAUUUAUCAACUAUGAGGAGCUCACUAUUUCAUACCCAUGGCUGUUUAGAAUGCUUAAGAGAACACAGAAGCUCCCUGAGGUGCGGCCCUUUUUUAUGCUGGAUCUCCAACACUGGAAGCAAAAGGAAGUCCCAAACAGAAACUAUAUGCAGUGCUGAAUCUACAGUGGCUCUGAGAACUUUUAACUAAUGGGCACUUGUAAAUCUCACAACAUUUCCUACUGGCGUGAAUGCCCUGGGUAAAAUGCUCAUUAAACUGUCAGCCAGCAGAGAGGUGUCGUUGCUGGAAAGAGAGUCACAGCAUCCAGGGGUGGAAAGAGGCCUCCCUGGGCCACCAGGGCCCUCCUCUCCCCCAUUCACCCACCACCAACCCCAGACUCAAACCCUCCUUUCAAAGCCUUUCAGAGGAUGUUACAACUCUCCUUCACCUCCACCAGGAAAUUAUUCUUUUUCUCCAAUCCAAAUAUAUAUAUAUAUAUUCAUGUUUAAUCACUAUUUCUUUUUGUUGGAGAGGAUAUCUUCUAUGAAAAUUGAGAAUGGCUAGCCACUGUCCAUGGUGGACAGUCUUUCAUGUACUUAGAAUCCCUUAUAAAAUUACUCCUGAGUCCUUA